rnacentral:rRNA from 1 species
UACGAAGGGGGCUAGCGUUGCUCGGAUUUCCUGGGCGUAAGGGGCGCGUAGGCGGAUGUUUAAGUCGGGGGUGAAAGCCCGGGGCUCAACCUCGGAAUUGCCUUCGAUACUGGACAUCUUGAGUACGGGAGAGGUGAGUGGAACUCCGAGUGUAGAGGUGAAAUUCGUAGAUAUUCGGAAGAACACCAGUGGCGAAGGCGACUCACUGGCCCGUUACUGACGCUGAGGCGCGAAAGCGUGGGGAGCAAACAGG